GAUUUCUGGUAUGGCGCAUUUGGCCCGCUUCGGUUACGGAGUUGAGUGCCGUUUUGCGCCUGCCAUCCUUCUGGAAUACGACUCUCCAUUCAUUGGGUUGGGCCGGAAUCCAGAUCAUUUACUUUGAAAAAAUUAGAGUGUUUAAAGCAGGCUUACGCUAUGAAUACAUUAGCAUGGAAUAAUAAUUUAGGACUUUGGUCUUAUUUUGUUGGUUUCUAGGACUAAAGUAAUGAUUGAUAGGGAUAGUUGGGGGUGCUAGUAUUCAGCGGCCAGAGGUGAAAUUCUUGGAUUCGCUGAAGACUAACUUAUGCGAAAGCAUU
rnacentral:rRNA from 1 species